UCUAUGCAAGAAUCAUUAAGAGAAGCUGAAAAUAAAAAACGAACUUCAGAAAUAUAUAUUGAUACUCUAUGUGAAGAAUUCGCUAAAAUGAAAGCGGCUGGUAUAUUUAAUCAGUGAUUAUAUACAGUUUUAGUUUUAUUAAAUUAAAAUGUAUAAUUUUAGAGCAAGUUCAUAUUGUAUCCUCAUCAAAAGAAAAAGCCAAAAAAAAAUAAAAAACAAUUAGUAUACGAGUUGCUCAGGAAUACGACAAAUGGAUCAAAUAUAUGUUGUUCAUAAAAAGCAGAUAGCUACUUGCAAUAUUUCAUAAAAAAAAAAAAAUACAUUGAAAACAAUUAUACAAUUUGUUUUAUUGGUUGCUGAUUGAAGGAAUGAAAUAAGUGAAAAACAGCAAGUGGUCGCAGAACUUAAAGAUCAAGUUCAAAAAUUGUUAUUGGCCCAACAUCAACUACAAACAAAUCUUAAUAAGUUAUUACAGGAAGAUCAGGAUAAGAGUCAGAGACUUCAAGAAUAUGUCUUGGCUAAUGAGCUUAAUCAAUGAUAUAAUUUGUGUUCCUCAAUCUAUUGUUAAAUAUUAUACUUAAUCUCUUUGUUAAGUCUAGUCUUUUAAUUUCCUACUGUAUUUGAUUAAUAAUGAAUUGUUUAAUUUAUUUUGUUGAUAUGCUUUAAAGAUACAAUUCACUACAAUUAAGUAAAGCAAUACAAUUUAAAAUUAUUAAAUUAAAUUGUUUUCAAUUAUGAAUUCAGACAGAAAAUAUGAUAUUUUAUACACAAAAAAAUGUUAAAAGAAAAC